UUGACGGAGAGUUUGAUCCUGGCUCAGGACGAACGCUGGCGGCGGGCCUAACACAUGCAAGUCGAACGAGAUGCCUUCGGGCAUCUAGUGGCGAACGGGUGAGUAACACGUGAGGAACCUGCCCCGAAGACGGGGAUAACCGUGGGAAACUGCGGCUAAUACCCGAUGUCCCCGAUGCGGCGCAUGCCGCGACGAGGAAAUGCUCCGGUGCUUCGGGAGGGCCUCGCGGCCUAUCAGCUAGUUGGUGAGGUAACGGCUCACCAAGGCUUCGACGGGUAGCUGGUCUGAGAGGACGAUCAGCCACACUGGGACUGAGACACGGCCCAGACUCCUGCGGGAGGCAGCAGUGGGGAAUCUUGCGCAAUGGGCGAAAGCCUGACGCAGCCACGCCGCGUGGGGGACGAAGGCCCUCGGGUUGUAAACCCCUUUCAGCAGGGACGAAAAUGACGGUACCUGCAGAAGAAGCUCCGGCCAACUACGUGCCAGCAGCCGCGGUAACACGUAGGGAGCGAGCGUUGUCCGGAUUUAUUGGGCGUAAAGGGCUCGUAGGCGGUUUGGUAAGUCGGGUGUGAAAGCUCAGGGCUCAACUCUGAGAAGCCAUCUGAUACUGCCAUGACUAGAGUUCGGUAGAGGAGCGUGGAAUUUCCGGUGUAGCGGUGAAAUGCUCAGAUAUCGGGAGGAACACCAGCAGCGAAGGCGGCGCUCUGGGCCGAAACUGACGCUGAGGAGCGAAAGCGUGGGGAGCAAACAGGAUUAGAUACCCUGGUAGUCCACGCCGUAAA
rnacentral:rRNA from 1 species